CCGAGAAUAUUCGACAAUGGACGAAAGUCUGAUCGAGCGACGCCGCGUGAUGGAUGAAGACCCUCUGGGUCGUAAACAUCUUUUAUGAGGGAGAAAGUUUAUUGAUAGUACCUCAAGAAUAAGGGGUUUCUAAACUCGUGCCAGCAGAAGCGGUAAUACGAGUGCCCCGAGCGUUAUCCGGAAUCAUUGGGCGUAAAGGGUGUGUAGGUGGUUGUGUUAGUCAACUGCUAAAACCUGGGGCUUAACCCCAGAAAUGCGAACGAAACGGCACAUACUUGAGGAUGGCAGGGAUGUAUGGAACUCAUGGAGUAGGGGUGAAAUCCGUUGAUAUCAUGGGGAACACCAAAAGCGAAGGCAGUACAUUGGGCCACUCCUGACACUGAAACACGAAAGCGUGGGUAGCGAAUGGGAUUAGAUACCCCCGUAGUCC
rnacentral:rRNA from 1 species